rnacentral:tRNA from 1 species
AAUGAAGUGCCUGAAAAAAAGGGUUAUCGUGAUAGGAUAAAUUAUGUAAUUUUAAAUUAUCUUCAUUA